CGGAGGGUGCGAGCGUUAUCCGGAAUUACUGGGUUUAAAGGGUGCGUAGGCGGCACAGUAAGUCAGGAGUGAAAGUUUGCGGCUCAACCGUAAAAUUGCUUUUGAUACUGCUGUGCUAGAAUUAGGAUGAGGUCAGCGGAAUGUGGCAUGUAGCGGUGAAAUGCAUAGAUAUGCCAUAGAACACCAAUUGCGAAGGCAGCUGGCUAGACCUAUAUUGACGCUGAGGCACGAAAGCGUGGGGAGCGAACAGGAUUAGAUGCCCUGGUAGUCCACGCCCUAAACGAUGCUCACUCGACGUAUGGCCCUUGAGGUUGUGCGUCCAAGGGAAACCGUUAAGUGAGCCACCUGGGGAGUACGACCGCAAGGUUG
rnacentral:rRNA from 1 species